GACGAACGCUGGCGGCGUGCUUAACACAUGCAAGUCGAACGGAAAGGCCCUGCUUUCGUGGGGUGCUCGAGUGGCGAACGGGUGAGUAACACGUGAGUAUCCUGCCCUUGACUUUGGGAUAACUUCAGGAAACUGGGGCUAAUACCGGAUAGGAGCUCCUGCUGCAGGGUGGGGGUUGGAAAUUUUAGGCUGUUGGGGAUGGACUCGCGGCUUAACAGCUUGUUGGUUGGGGAGGUGCUUACCAAGGCUUUGGAGGGUAGCCGGCCUGGGAGGGGAACCGGCCACCAUGCGCCUACGAGACGGAGCAGACGCCAACGGGAGACUACAGGGGGAAAUCUUGCACAACGGGAGGAAGCCUGAUGAAGAGGCGUUGGGUGUGGGAUGACGGCCUUCGGGUUGUGAACCGCUUUAGCCUGUGACGAAGCGUGAGUGACGGUAAUGGGUAAAGAAGCACCGGCUAACUACGUG
rnacentral:rRNA from 1 species